rnacentral:rRNA from 1 species
GCAGUCGAACGGUCUUUUAGGAGACAGUGGCGGACGGGUGAGUAACGCGUAAGAAUCUACCCUCAGGUCGGGGACAACCACUGGAAACGGUGGCUAAUACCGGAUGUGCCGAGAGGUGAAAGGCUUGCUGCCUGGGGAAGAGCUUGCGUCUGAUUAGCUAGUUGGUAGUGUAAGGGACUACCAAGGCGACGAUCAGUAGCUGGUCUGAGAGGAUGAUCAGCCACACUGGGACUGAGACACGGCCCAGACUCCUACGGGAGGCAGCAGUGGGGAAUUUUCCGCAAUGGGCGAAAGCCUGACGGAGCAAUACCGCGUGAGGGAGGAAGGCUCUUGGGUUGUAAACCUCUUUUCUCAGGGAAGAAAAAAAUGACGGUACCUGAGGAAUAAGCAUCGGCUAACUCCGUGCCAGCAGCCGCGGUAAUACGGAGGAUGCAAGCGUUAUCCGGAAUGAUUGGGCGUAAAGGGUCCGCAGGUGGCAUUGUAAGUCUGCUGUUAAAGAGUUUGGCUCAACCAAAUAAAAGCAGUGGAAACUACAAAGCUAGAGUUUGGUCGGGGCAGAGGGAAUUCCUGGUGUAGCGGUGAAAUGCGUAGAUAUCAGGAAGAACACCAGUGGCGAAGGCGCUCUGCUAGGCCGAGACUGACACUGAGGGACGAAAGCUAGGGGAGCGAAUGGGAUUAGAUACCCCAGUAGUCCUAGCCGUAAACGAUGGAUACUANGCGUAGCUCGUAUCGACCCGAGCUGUGCCGGAGCUAACGCGUUAAGUAUCCCGCCUGGGGA